GAGUUACUUGCUUUGAAUGUUGUAAGGGAGGCUGAUCGGCCUGUGACUGAAGCAGCUGCUACUAGUACUGCUUCUUUGACAGCCAAUGCACCUUUAUCAGCUGUCCAAUCUUCUCAUGCACCUUCACCAGCAGUCCAAUCUUCUCAUGCACCUUCACCAACAGCCCAAUCUUCUCAUGCACCUUCACCAACCCUCCAAUCUUCUCAACCAGUAUGGGCAAGUUCAUCUAGCACUUAUGAAUCUAGUUCACAGCCAUACUCAGAGCAAAAAAUGUGUCAUGGAGAAGCUAGCCAGCAGCCGUCUUCC
rnacentral:lncRNA from 1 species